GCAUCUAAGUGUGAAACUCGCCUCGAGAUGAGAUUUCCCAUUUCCUUCGGGAAAGUAAGACCCCUCAGAGAUGAUGAGGUAGAUAGGAUGGAAGUGGAAGUGCCGUGAGGCAUGAAGCGGACCAUUACUAAUCGGUCGAGGACUUAACCAAG
rnacentral:rRNA from 1 species